rnacentral:miRNA from 1 species
CUGCCCUAGUCUAGCUGAAGCU